AAACAAAAUGUGGUGUAGCCCCUUCUACGCGAUCGCGCUGAGCUACUAGUGUCCGGGCCUGGAAUCGGACCGCAGCAUCCUCAGCCACGUCGUCUGCCUCCUGACUAUGGACCCCCGCAAAGUGAACGAGCUUCGGGCCUUCGUGAAAUUGUGUAAGCAGGAUCCGAGCAUUCUGCACACCGAGGACAUGCGCUUCUUAAGGGAAUGGGUGGAGAGCAUGGGGGGUAAAGUACCACCUGCUGCUCAGAAAACUAAAGACGAAAACAUCAAGGAAGAAAAAACAGAUAGUAAGAAGGCAGAAGAAAACAUAAAGACAGAGGAACCAUCAAGUGAGUAGAGUGAUCUAGAAAUUGAUAGUGAAGGUGUGACUGAACCAGACACUGAUGCCCCUCAAGAAAUGGGAGAUGAAAAUGCAGAGAUAACUGAGGAGAUGAUGGAUCAGGCAAAUGAGAAGAAAGUGGCUGUCACUGAUGCCCUAAAUGAUGGUUAGCUACAGAAAGCCAUCAACGUGUUCACAGAUGCCAUCAAGCUGAAUCCUCGGUUGGCCAUUUCGUAUGCCAAGAGAGCCAGUGUCUUCAUUAAAUUACAGAAGCCAAAUGCUGCCAUCCGAGACUGUGAGAGAGCCAUUGAAAUAAAUCCUGAUUCAGCUCAGCCUUACAAGUGGAGAGGGAAAAGCACACAGACUUCUGGGCCAUCGGGAAGAAGCAGCCCAUGAUCUUGCCCUUGCCUGUAAACUGGAUUAUGACGAUGAUGUUUGUGCUAUGCUGAAGGAAGUUCAACCUAGGGCCCAGAAAAUUGCAGAACAUCGGAGAAAGUAUGAGAGAAAACGUGAAGAGCGAGAGAUCAAAGAAAGAAUAGAAAGGGUUAAGAAGGCUCAUGAAGAACAUGAGAAAGCCCAGAGGGAGGAAGAAGCCAGACGACAAUCAGGAGCUCAGUAUGGCUCUUUUCCAGGUGGCUUUCCUGGAGGAAUGCCUAGUAAUUUUCCUGGAGGAAUGCCUGGAAUGGCAGGAGGCAUGGCAGGGAUGCCUGGACUCAAUGAAAUUCUUAGUGAUCCAGAGGUUCUUGCAGCGAUGCAGGAUCCAGAAGUCAUGGUGGCCUUCCAGGAUGUGGCUCAGAACCCAGCAAAUAUGUCAAAAUACCAGAGCAACCCAAAAGUUAUGAAUCUCAUCAGUAAAUUGUCAGCCAAAUUUGGAGGUCAAGCGUGAUGCCCUUCUGACAAAUAAAGCCCAUGCUGAAGGAAAAGCAACCUAUAUCACCUAAUGGAUGUUGCAAUAAUACAAACCAGUGUACCUCUCACCUUCUCAUCAAGGGAGCUGGGGUGCUUUAAAGAUAAUCCCUACCCCUGUCCCCCAAAUGCAGCUCAAGCAUUUUGCAGUGGUUUGCCAUUAGGGUAUUCAUUCAAAUAAUGUUUUCCAACUAGAAAUUACAAUCUUUAAAACACUUUUUAAAACUUAAAAAUAUUUAAAACUAAUUAAAAGGGUGUGGUAAUUUCUACAUUUU